UGGCCAUAAAAGUAACUAUCUUUAAUUGUAUGCUUAUAACAUGAAUUUAUUUGCUUUGAACUUAAUUUAUAAUCCUCACAGUUCGCAAAUAGUGUAAAUUUUCUUUAAAAAAAAAAAAAAUGGGCAUUUUGUUUAUUAAAGCUAUGCAUUAUUUUGGUAGUUACUUCAAAUAUGGCACCUGAUAUCAGAGUGAACUGGGCAUUUGUUUCCCUCCCCCCCCCCCCCCAUAUUUACCAUACCUAAUUGUAAUAAGAUGCAUGUGAAGUGAUUGAGAGUUGAUUCUUCUGUAGUUCACUGGGUUAACUUUGGAUGUUUGUCAGAGCAAGGAUGAUAGAAAUCAGCCCUACAUGGUUUGCUCAGUGGUUAGAGUGGACUGAAGGGUCCCAGGUUCGAUUCCAGUCAAAGGCAUGCACCUAAGUUGCUGGUUCAGUCACUGGCGGCCUGAUGUGUCUUUCACAUUGAUUUCUCUCUUGAUUCUCCCCCUUCCUUCCACAAUCUCU